UACGGAGGGGGCUAGCGUUGUUCGGAAUUACUGGGCGUAAAGCGCACGUAGGCGGCUUUGUAAGUUAGAGGUGAAAGCCCGGGGCUCAACUCCGGAACUGCCUUUAAGACUGCAUCGCUAGAAUCCGGGAGAGGUGAGUGGAAUUCCGAGUGUAGAGGUGAAAUUCGUAGAUAUUCGGAAGAACACCAGUGGCGAAGGCGGCUCACUGGACCGGUAUUGACGCUGAGGUGCGAAAGCGUGGGGAGCAAACAGG
rnacentral:rRNA from 1 species